rnacentral:lncRNA from 1 species
AUGCAAAAACCGAGCCGGGACAAAGGCUUCCAACGGGAGCGGGACAUUUGUCUACAUUUCGCUCAUUGUCCGCAGCUUAGCAAUCGGUUUGUAUUUGUGUUUGCCCGGGUCCGACCACCCAGGACGCGCCGACGAGGGGCUCGCUCUAACCUGGGGCAUUGUCACCCACGUCACAUACUGGGGGCGAGGCAGCGAGGGCUGCAGAAAGCCGCCGAGCGGCUCAGGGAGAGGCGCCCUCGCCGGGCGCUGGCAACUCGGGGGCGGCCGGGGCGCGGAGGCCGCAGCUGCGCACGGGGAGGCCGGGCGCCCGCGCUGCGCUCGCGGCGAGGAGGCGGCCAGACCUGGACCCCCGCCGCGGCCUUCUCCGUUCCCCGCUCCCCGGGCAAAGCACAGUUCAGACGCUUCUCUGGGGUGGACGAGCAUCAGGUAGCAAACCUGCCCCCCCCGCCCACCCCGCCAAAAAUACAAAACUGGAAGGAGGGGCGGGGCUGCGGCGAGGACUUUUCCUCGCCGGCCCCGGACAGAAGGUGCCUUCCCGGGAAAGUUCAGUUUCAACCUCACGCAAGCUGGGAGCCUGCGGCGUGUCCUCGCAACACGCCCCUGAGGCAUCCGAAAGGACUCUCUGCGGAGAAGAAAACUCCACAGAGAAAUCAGCAGCACCUCCCGCCCUGCGACCCCCUCCUCCGCCGUUUUGGGGUCCUCGCCCCCCUGGAGACCGCGCCCGCGCCCCGCCACCCCUCCCCUCUCUCCGCCCCCGCUGGAGGCUGCAGAGGGAGGCAUAAUAGGGGGCAGGGAGGGCGCGGGGCCGUCUGCCCUUUCCUCCACACGGAGGGCGCGGCCCGCGGGCCCGGAGGUGGUGGGGCCGGGGCCGAUCGAGGCUCGGGGAAGACGUCCCAACUCCCCCUUCCCCCGCCCCUCCCCGGGCGUCCGCACAGCGCCAAGAGAACGGUGCUGUCCUGCUCGGCUGCACGGAGCUGGAGGGGGAGAGGGGAGGCGGGGAGACGGAAAUAA